AUUGAACGCUGGCGGCAGGCCUAACACAUGCAAGUCGAGCGGAUGAAGGGAGCUUGCUCCUGGAUUCAGCGGCGGACGGGUGAGUAAUGCCUAGGAAUCUGCCUGGUAGUGGGGGAUAACGUCCGGAAACGGGCGCUAAUAACGCAUACGUCCUGAGGGAGAAAGUGGGGGAUCUUCGGACCUCACGCUAUCAGAUGAGCCUAGGUCGGAUUAGCUAGUUGGUGGGGUAAAGGCCUACCAAGGCGACGAUCCGUAACUGGUCUGAGAGGAUGAUCAGUCACACUGGAACUGAGACACGGUCCAGACUCCUACGGGAGGCAGCAGUGGGGAAUAUUGGACAAUGGGCGAAAGUCUGAUCCAGCCAUGCCGAGUGUGUGAAGAAGGUCUUCGGAUUGUAAAGAACUUUAAGUUGGGAGGAAGGGCAGUAAGUUAAUACCUUGCUGUUUUGACGUUACCAACAGAAUAAGCACCGGCUAACUUCGUG
rnacentral:rRNA from 1 species